rnacentral:tRNA from 1 species
UUCAUUGUGGCUCAGUGGUUGAGCACUUGCCUCGCAUGCAUGAGGCACUGGGAUCGAUCCUCAGCACCACAUAAAA